rnacentral:ribozyme from 16 species
CUGGAACAAAUACAAAAGGAAAAAAAUAUAAUUUAUAAAAUCACAUGCCAUUGCAUGUCUCGAAUUAUGGUUUGUGAGUUUUUUUUGAUUUUUUCCAUCUUCUCGUAA